CAGUCGCCGCGGGAAUACAGAGGGUGCAAGCGUUAAUCGGAAUUACUGGGCGUAAAGCGCGCGUAGGUGGUUUGUUAAGUUGGAUGUGAAAUCCCCGGGCUCAACCUGGGAACUGCAUCCAAAACUGGCAGGCUAGAGUAGGGCAGAGGGUGGUGGAAUUUCCUGUGUAGCGGUGUAAUGCGUAGAUAUAGGAAGGAACACCAGUGGCGAAGGCGACCACCUGGGCUCAUACUGACACUGAGGUGCGAAAGCGUGGGGAGCAAACAGGAUUAGAUACCCCAGUAGUCCCUGUCUCUUAUAC
rnacentral:rRNA from 1 species